ACCAUGGGAGGGGCAUAAGGGCUUUAGCCGGCCUUACAGGAGGCUUUGGAAGCUCAAAGCCUUUGACAGCUCAUAGAAAAACUGAUCAAGGGCUAUCUAGGUGCCACUGUAUGAAACAUGUCUACAGCAAUGCUGCUGAGUUAAUUUGCACUGCCAGGUUACAAGUCAACCUGUCUGCUUCACAGCCAUGAACUUCUCCCUCUUCCAUCACUACAGGUUAACCAAGGUGGCAUCUAGAAUAUGAUGUUCGUCUUUUUAAAUACUGUUUGUCAAUACUGGGAAGAAGAAAGGCAAAGAAUGAUCAUCUGUUGAAGCAAAGUGAACUAUAAUUGUAGAUGGCAACAAUAAUUUGGGGCCUGGAAAGCCCAUCUUUUCCUUUGAUUUGCAUUUGGAUUGAUGGAGUCUCUAACUUAGAAUAAUAAAAUUAACUGCUUUGUU